rfam:Bombyx mori DNA, contig: Bm_scaf318_contig42528, strain: p50T/Dazao, build 2, whole genome shotgun sequence.
UUAACUCAAAUUUGUAUGAAGUUGGAAAGUUUGCCUACGUUUGCCGCCAGGGGCGCUGAUCCAACUGUAUACAAAUUUGAAUUA